UACGUAGGGGGCGAGCGUUGUCCGGAUUCAUUGGGCGUAAAGCGCGCGUAGGCGGCUCGACAAGUCGGCCGUGAAAUCUCCAGGCUCAACUUGGAGGGGUCGGGCGAGACUGUCGGGCUCGAGGUGGGCAGAGGGCAGUGGAAUUCCGGGUGUAGUGGUGGAAUGCGUAGAGAUCCGGAGGAACACCAGUGGCGAAGGCGGCUGCCUGGGCCUGGCCUGACGCUGAGG
rnacentral:rRNA from 1 species